AGCGAACGCUGGCGGCAGGCCUAACACAUGCAAGUCGAACGAACCUUUCGGGGUUAGUGGCGGACGGGUGAGUAACACGUGGGAACGUGCCUUUAGGUUCGGAAUAACUCAGGGAAACUUGUGCUAAUACCGAAUGUGCCCUUCGGGGGAAAGAUUAAUCGCCUUUAGAGCGGCCCGCGUCUGAUUAGCUAGUUGGUUGAGGUAAUGGCUCACCAAGGCGACGAUCAGUAGCUGGUCUGAGAGGAUGAUCAGCCACAUUGGGACUGAGACACGGCCCAAACUCCUACGGGAGGCAGCAGUGGGGAAUCUUGCGCAAUGGGCGAAAGCCUGACGCAGCCAUGCCGCGUGAAUGAUGAAAGUCUUAGGAUUGUAAAAUUCUUUCACCGGGGACGAUAAUGACGGUACCCGGAGAAGAAGCCCCGGCUAACUUCGUG
rnacentral:rRNA from 1 species